GGACAACUUUUGUAUGCAUCUUCCAGCAUAAAACACCCUUGAGAAAAAAUAGAAGGCAAGCUAAAAGACAAAGGACCACUAAAGAUUUUAUUAUGCUAUGGGUGUGGUGCCAUAAAUUUUAGGAGAUUCAGGCAAGAGUUGCCAAGCCUGAAUUUAAACAGCAUGUUGUUUUUAAAAGUUGUAACAUUAGUGACGAACAAGUCCGUAUUCUUACAUAAUUAAUCCAGUGUGAAAUAGAGUGACUGGAAGACAUCCAGUGGUUUAAAAAUAACUCAAUCAUUUAUAAGAUCCACAGCGCUAUAGGAUUUAACAUUAAGGCACAGGAAGUGAAGGCAUCUUGGUACGGAGCAUGCUGUUUUAAUUCCACAAAAGCUUUGUGAAUUCGGCUUAACGGAGCUCCCUGCACAACAGCCCUGUGCCACGCAGAAGCAAGGGAGGUUCCUCUCAAGUGGUCACAGACUGGGAGGAAGACAAAGCUACACAGGGACCAAAGGAGUGUCUUCAGAUGAAAUGUAAUCAUGUGACUCAAGGCAGAAGCAGGCAAGACGUCUGGAAGGGACUUGAACAUUUAUGCCUCAGUGCUGCUGCUUGACUUCCUCCAGAGAAGGGAGAGCAUGCUUGGAUGUUUGCCAAAAGGGAGAUCACAGUUCUUUCUAAUGCAGACCUUGCAAGGCCUAGCACAAGGCAAAGACACUUGAGCACUGGAAUAGUUUCUUGGAGACUCUGAUGGCUCUUCUGCAUAUGGUUGGAAAGAAUCACAGUGCUGGUGCUGCUGCAUUCCCAGUCUGUCACCGAGAACAACUUCAAAAUACAGAGGUUGCAUGAGACUUCCCUCCAGAACAUCCUCUUACUGCAAGAAGCUGAAGAAAAGUCUCACGUGUUCCCCACCAGUGAAAACAUUCCUGCAGGCUUCACACCCAUUGGCAGCUCACCCUGCGAGCUUCAACCAAGGGUGAUGCAUCUGACAGCAGAAGUGACCAUGCUGCACAGUGGCUGCUUGCUCCUCACCUGCCCAACGGGCAAGUGACAGCGUUGGGCCCAAAGCCUCUGGGACUUUGCUUCAGGAACUGCUCUAAGCCUCUGCCUCAGGAGGCUGUUGCUGCAGGGAAUUUUCCUCCAUCAGCAGGAACUGAAGCAGCUGCAGGAGCUGCAGAUGUAGACUCUAAAUCAUCGUGUCUUUCCCUCUUUCAGGACAAGCUCCUGAGAGAAUUUGGUUUACCACACAUCUGACGUGUGUUUAUGUGUUGCGGAAUGGGAGUAAUGCAAUGAUUCUCAGGGCAUAACUAUUGUGAAAAAAUCAGAGGAGUUU
rnacentral:lncRNA from 1 species